UCGCUACUACCGAUUGAAUGGCUUAGUGAACUUCAGGGACGGUGGCCCUUGGUUGGUUUCCUUCCGCUGGCCGCUGGAACUGAAGUAAACUUGAUCAUUUAGAGGAAGUAA
rnacentral:rRNA from 1 species